CAAAUUUAGUGUCACUCAAAUAAAUCUCCAAAAAGUCGAUCGCUUCUUCAACAGGUUUCAAAUGUUCCGCAACGUCUGUUAUUUGCCGAUGAAAAAUUUUUCGCUGAAAAUAGAUUUUAUUGUAAAGGUAGCUUACGAAAUACUGGAAUAUUCACCAUUAGCUCAGCGUCCC